UACAGAGGGUGCGAGCGUUAAUCGGAAUUACUGGGCGUAAAGCGUGCGUAGACGGUUACAUAAGUCGGGUGUGAAAUCCCCGGGCUCAACCUGGGAACUGCAUUUGAUACUGAAGAGCUAGAGUGUGGUAGAGGAUAGUGGAAUUCCCGGUGUAGCGGUGAAAUGCGUAGAUAUCGGGAGGAACAUCAGUGGCGAAGGCGGCUAUCUGGACUAACACUGACACUGAGGCACGAAAGCGUGGGUAGCAAACAGG
rnacentral:rRNA from 1 species